CUAUUUUAGAAGACAAGUGCCACGCGCGCAAUGAGUUGUGGGAUAUCGCGUAUCAAGUGUCGAGUGUGAUUUGCAAAUUUUUGAUUUUUUCGUUUGGAACUGAUUUCGCUCAAGAAAAGCUAUAUUCCGCCCAAGAAAAGGUAUAAAUGGUAUUGGAUAAGUGACUGUAAGUCUUGCUAAAGGCUUAUUGAUCUCAGGUAUGUAUUAUUACUCUUUAUAUCAUAUAAUUAUAACGUCCAUCGACCCUUUUAUUUCAUUUUAUCUUGUGGCUGUACUAGCCUGACUGAACAUGUGGCUGCUAAAAUUUGAAUUUGCGCGCGCGAGAUUUUAUAUAUUGAAAUUGUUUCAUUUCAAUGCUGCCAAAUAUUAGUUAAAACCAACAAUUCAAAUUUUGAAUAAGCACAUUAUAUAGUGUAUUAUUUGAAACAAUAUGUGAAAUGUGAACAUGAAUGUAAAUAUGUGUUUGCUACAAAAUGGCUUGCAAGCCUAUUCAUACCAAAACAUGAGAAUUAUUUGAGAGUAUUAAUUAAAUUAUGUUCUUUUAAUCACCUCUCCCCUGGAAUGCCUGGAUUACCAAGGUCUUUCAAGUCAUUGAGUGCCAGCUCUCUCCCCUUGACAAGUAAAAUCACCUAGGCAUUAAUUCUGCCUAGGGUUACUGGCCGGGUUAGACAGAGUAAAAUUAGUGGUGUUUUCACUACAAUUAAACCUUGACCUAGCCUUGGCCAAGCCAAGGUACAUUAAAUGUGGGAUGUUUACACCAUUACACUAUUUUUUUCAGACAGGCCCGCUUUGGCCAAGAAUUUUGUUAUUAAUUUUGUGUAUUUUUAUGUGUUGUCAUGUUGUCUGCUGGUUGUCUGCUAAUCUCUCACUGUGGACAGAGGCACCGGGGAAUCGAUAAUUGGGGGGGGGAGAUAUUCAUAUAUUCGUGUUCUGCCCAAUUAAUUACACGCCCCCCGUGGAAAUCAGCUACGGUUGACGGGGUCAGCAUGGAUAAAUAAAGUUCUACUACUACUACUGCUAUUAUCGAUUCUCCGGCGCCUCUGACUGUGGACACACAUUGCCAUAAAAAUAAGGCCCCGGCCAGGGCCUAAAGUGUUUACAUUUACACAAGCUUAGGCCAGGUCUGUGUAGUGAGUCCAGAUUUCCUGGCCUAGGUCAGGUCAAGGCUAGGCCAUUUCCACAAGCCUAGGCUUAGGCCAAGUCGGUUGUAGUGAGCCCAGAUUUCCUGGCCUAGGUCAGGACAAGGCUAGGCCAAAGUCUGUUUACACUGUCAAAAUGUUGGCCAAGGCUGGUAGUGUAAACAAGACUAUUGAAUGCAUCAAGGCACAUUACGACUAAAUGGUUAGUGUUUCCCACAAUAUGGUAAAAAAGUAUAUACUUUUGCUAGCUUGAGCUUGAAGGAUCUUCCAAGCUAAACCCUUCUAGAGUAUACCCUGUAUAUAUGUGCCUUUUUAUAUGAUAAUGGCACGAAUGGACAGUAGGUUAUAAUCCAGGAUGGUGUGUUUAAUAUAGACACAAUACACCUCACCUGGCAGGGAUGAUAGAGUGCUUAUAUUCAUGAGAGUUUCUUGUCCUGGCAGGUGGGAUCCUGUCUAGGCCAGAUAGAAGUAGAAUAAUUCACUAAACAGUUGAUACAGUUCAUAUUGCAAGCUGGGUCAUGCCGACGGGAUCAUAAUAAUUACAAAGUGGCUACAUUAUGAUGCUUAUGAUGUUACUCUGAGUGCAUAUCCACACCGGGCAAGCUUGAAAAAUAUGCCUGACCACGGUGGGAAUCGAACCUACAACCUUUGGAAUACUAGCCUGGCAAUACUCUGCCAACUGAGCUAAGCGGUCAGAUCGGUUCGAAUAUGUGAUAUUUCGGAACAGAAUCUAGUUCCUUCGAUAUCAAUGUAAUCGAAGGAACUAGAAAAAUCAUUACUGAUUAUUAGAUUACAUUGAUAUUGGAGGAACUAGAUUCUGUUCCGAAAUAUCACAUACUGUAUUUGAAUCAAUCUGUCCGCGUAGGUCAGUUGGCAGAGCAUUGGGCUAGUAUUCCAAAGGUCAUAGGUUCGAUUCCCACCAUGGUCAGGCAUAUUUUUUAAUUACGCUUGCCCAGUGUGGAUAUAUACUCAGCGUAACAUCACAAGCAUCAUAUUCCUGAGUACAUUAAACCAACACAGAAAAAUCAUUACUGGCUACAGUAUAUCUACAGGUCCUUAAACAGAUUUUGCCAGGCUAUAUUUACAGGCUUACAGCACUCUUACGUACUAAACCAGAACUAUAAAAUUUAUUAUUAAUGAAGGAUUUCAGCGAGCUCAAAAAUAGAUCAGAAGCUUAGGCAGAUGGCUGCUGUGCUGUAGUCUGUGGUUCAAACCCGAGUUGGGACAGGUUUUUUUCAACUUACUGUAACUAAAAAUGUUUAACUUUUUUUCUGAUUAGUUUUAUUUUGGGGGGUAGAGGUUAGGGUUAGUUUUGUUUAAUUUGUCUUUAACAAUAAAUACAACCUGUGUGGAGACUAAGAAUGAGAGUGCCAUAAAUAUACCUUGGUGAAGUUUGUUUACAGGCUUGAAGAUAUAGCCACUUUGUAAUAAUUAUUUACAAAAGCAAUUUAAUUUUUAAAUGGAUCAAAUGAUUGGAUAAUUACUGCAGACUUUAUAAAAACAGUCUAAGCUUACAACGGCAUAAAACUAGUAUUCUUUUUACAUGUGCAUCCGAAGCUAGAUUGAAUUAACUUAUAAAUAACUAUUAAUUACAAGAGUAUGCACCAGCAUACUUGAUGAUCUACUUAGCCUUGAGAGUAAAAUGGUCUGGCAUUAGACAGAGUACAAUAAUCUGGCAUUUAAAAGACAGUAAAAUAAGGAAGUAGGACACACAAGGGUACAAUACAACUUAAUGGGUUCACUAGACACAUGGCCAUAUUAACCCAACAAAACAGGAAUACCCUGUACUUCUCAAGAAGUUUGGCAGGUCAUUAAGAUGGGGAGUUAACUGGAUAUUAUACUAGGCCGGACAUGGCAUAAGCUGCAUUGUGCCACAACUUUAUUCUUUUACUGUGUCUGAUGGGUUGUUCCAGAAAAGAUCCACUCUCCCCUGGGCACAGAGGAAAUUUCAACCGUCCGGAGGGGAGGCGAGGGGAGAAAAAAUUGUUUCUGAAGUGUAUAAGGACAUUUGAAUUUCGAAGGGGAUAGGGGGUUAACUUCCAAUUUCCUUCAUGGGGGAGGUUACAUGUACUGUAGGUAUUGAUGUUCGCUGGAAUGACCCAUUGUCAGAUGAUUUUACUUGUCAGUGAUAUCACUCAGUGGGUCACUGAAACAAGUAGCACUCAUCUCCAAUAUAACUAAGGUUAAAUCAUAUAAUCUUAUGAAUCUAAUGAAUGUUUCUGGAACGAGCCAAUAGCAUAUUAAAUCACAAAUGCCAACAACCAGUAGCAGAUACCUCAAAAUAUUGGGGUGCUGUUGAGAUGUCUGUUAACAAAUCCUAUCUAGUGCAUAUUUCUUUUGUUAACCCAUUCACUGGCAAUAUGCUCUACUUUAUAUUACUCUGUCUAAUGGCAGGAAAUUUUACAGUUUUACUUGUUGAGAAGAUAGCCUUGCAGCAGUUUCCAAUUUGCCAUGUAUCGCCCACACAGAGAAUACAUUACUGGGGACGAGUCAGGGUAAAAGCCAUAUGAACCAAGGGUUAUCAAUUAUGAUAAUACUAGAAACAACGUCAACCAAAGGUUAGCUUGUGCUACUAACUACAUUUAUUUAGGUCUUCCCAUUCGUAAUAAGGUGCAAAGUUUAUAGGUUGGAUAGGAGGAAAUUGCUCAUAUUGCUGCAUGUGAACUGUGAACUUGUGCUAUAUACUGUAAUGUUAACUGACUGUGUAGUUCCAGUACCGGUACAUGAAAUACAUUAUGUACAGCUAAUGAUAGUCUUGUAUUUCCUUUCUUGUAGCUCAUGUGACUAAAUGUUUUGCGGGAGCAACAGCCUCAUCAGUGAAAGCUGCCAUGGCCCAAAAGUGCAAAGACAAAAGAAAUGCUGAUACGAAAAGAAGAAAAAUUGCAAAAGACAUUUGAACUGCUAAGUUUUUUCCUUAUUAUAAAUUAUUUUGUAUGGUAGCUAAACAUUUGUAGCAAUUAACUGUAUAAAUAAAUUAUUUAAACUUCCU
rnacentral:lncRNA from 1 species